CAGGCCUCACACAUGCAAGUCGCACUCUCUCCUUCGGGGUCUCAUGGCGCACGGGUGCGUCACGCGUGGGCAUCUGCCCUUGGGUUCGGCAUCACAGUGGGCAACUCCUGCUCAUCCCGGAUGCUGCCGUUAAGUCCAAAGCUUUAUCGCCCAGGGAUGCGCCCGCGUCGGCUUAGCUAGUUGGUGGGGUCAAGGCCUACCAAGGCUCCUCUCCUUAGCUGGUCUGAUCGGAUGAUCAGCCACACUGGGAAUGAGCCACGGCCCAUACUCCUACGGGAGGCAGCAGUGGGGAAUAUUGGACAAUGGGCGAAAGCCUGAUCCAGCAAUGCCGCGUGAGUGAUGAAGGCCCUAGGGUUGUAAAGCUCUUUUACCCGGGAUGAUAAUGACAGUACCGGGAGAAUAAGCUCCGGCUAACUCCGUGCCAGCAGCCGCGGUAAU
rnacentral:rRNA from 1 species